GCCUUUUCCACCUCAGAUCCCCCUGUCCUACCCAUCCUAGCUUUAACUCAGCCAUAAUUGCCUUGCUUAAUCCCAGGAACCUGGCCACUGCUCCUUGGUCCUUGGCAUUAUGACGGGAUUCCCUUGUCACCUCUGACAGUUCCUGGCUGCGGUGUCCGCGGACUGGCUGGGGAGUGAUGACAGGUAGCCAUCAGAGCUCCAGCCUCCAGGCAGCUUUAGGGAUUAAAACGGAGGCCAAAGCAACUCCAGACCUGUUUUUAUAGCCAAAUACUGAGCCUCAGUGGUUGUACACUCAGGGGCUUCCAGGAAAAUGCCAGCCUUACUUUUCUGGGGUGCCUUUUAAUAACCUCCAAGCACUUUAUGGACUGUUUGUCGAGGGACGGUGAAUCAGGAGAAUCACUAUUCUGAUUUCCUUUGUCUCCGAAGAGGAAGUCCCUGACUAGCUAUAUAACUUUGGGCAAGUUACCUCUCACCUCUUUGUGCCCCAGUGUUCUCCUUGGGAAACUGGAUUUAGGUUAGAUGAUCUUUUAAGGCUCCUUGUAUGAUAUUUUGUGAUCUGUGCAUGGCAGAGUAUAGAUUAGAAGCCACAUUUUCCAACCUAGUGCUAUAGUUCAGAAUACAUAGCACCCCAAGCGUCUGGCUGGAGCCGAGGAUGGGUCCUCCAGUUUUUGGCACAGAUGUUCCGGAGCCCAGGAAGCAUCCCAUAACCAACCUUCAGCCCCACCGCCACCCCCAGCGUAUUCCAGAGCCGCUUCCAAACCACAGCCUAUCCUCUGCUCCAUUUCGCUCUUGCCCUCACAGACUUGCAGCCUCCAUGCUCUGAGACAACUGUGCAAGGGAUGGAAACCCUAUUUUCUUUUCUCCAAGACCAUGGUUGGUCUGCUUCCCUCACUCGGGCUCCUUGACAGUCUUCUAGAAGAGAGGAGGAGGAAAAGAAGCAGUUCCUGAUGUUACAAAUGAACAAGGAUCUCCCAGCCUUAGUCUUUGAGAAAAGAUGGCUGAAAGAGAGGAACUCUCCAAGUCAUUCCGCAAACAAAUGCCCAUUUAAACAUCAUCCUUGUCUUGUGAAGAAAACAGGAAGAAUGUCAUGCACCGUGUGGAUCACCUUCAGUUCAAAGUUGCAGCAAAGUGAAGAAACUACUGGAAGCCACCCAGCAAUGCACUGUUUAGUCAUCAAUUAGGAGCCCAUGGGAGGAUAAUAGGGAGACUGGGUGGAGGCUCAGUGUGUAAUAAUCUCUUGUCUAAUGUAUGUGUGUCACUGCCAUGUUGUAUGAACAAUAGUGAGGGCUCACAUUUACUUAACACUUGUGUACUCAAAUCUGGGUUUUUCUUUCUUUCCAGAACUAUGACUCAAUCAUAAAAUCUGUUUUGUUUGCAUGCAUGCCCAAAACAACCCUAUAGGUAGAACAUUAUCAUUAUCUCUGUUUUAGAGAUGAGGAAACAGGCUCAGAGAAGCUCAGAAAUUUGUUCAAGAUCGCACAGCUAGUAAAUGGCAGAAGUAGGAUUGUGAACCCAGGGAAUCUCCAGAGCCUCUGUGUAACCAUGAUAUUAUAUUUUUUUCCUCUUUAAAAACAAAAUUAAAAACCUUG
rnacentral:sRNA from 1 species